rnacentral:rRNA from 1 species
UACGUAGGGGGCGAGCGUUGUCCGGAGUUACUGGGCGUAAAGGGCAUGCAGGCGGUCGGACGCGUUUCGGGUGACAGCGGGUGGCUUAACUACCCGAGUGGUCGAAAGACGGUUUGACUUGAGGACGCGAGAGGGACACGGAAUUCCGGGUGGAGUGGUGAAAUGCGUAGAUAUCUGGAGGAACACCGGUGGCGAAGGCGGCAUUCUGGACCAAUAUUGACGCUGAGGAGCGAAAGCCAGGGGAGCAAACGGG